CGGGGUGAUCUUAUCGUAUAUAUUACGAUUCAAUUCUAUGCAUUGAUCAUUUUCAAUCAUCAUAUUGAUUCUUUCUAGCUGUCAUAACUUUUAUCAGAUCACGGGGUGAUCUUAUCGUAUAUAUUACGAUUCAAUUCUAUGACUAUGAUCGUUUUGUUUUACGAUCUCCUAUCACUGAACUUUUGUUCACCACUUCUGUUCACCACUAUUACCAGAGUUAGGGAACUCUGUAUCUUAACAACUUACCGAGAUUCAUCUUUGAAUCUUACCGACCAACUAACUCUAUGUGAGUUAGAUCUUAUCUUAAUCACUGCGGUUAUUGGUCUCAGGUAUUCUUACCUAAGCUUCA
rnacentral:lncRNA from 1 species